rnacentral:rRNA from 1 species
CCUACGGGUGGCAGCAGUGGGGAAUAGUGGACAAUGGGGGCAACCCUGAUCCAGCCAUGCCGCGUGUGUGAAGAAGGCCCUCGGGUUGUAAAGCACUUUCAGUGAGGAAGAACGCCUGGUGGUUAAUACCCAUCAGGAAAGACAUCACUCACAGAAGAAGCACCGGCUAACUCCGUGCCAGCAGCCGCGGUAAUACGGAGGGUGCGAGCGUUAAUCGGAAUUACUGGGCGUAAAGCGCGCGUAGGUGGCUUGAUAAGCCGGUUGUGAAAGCCCCGGGCUCAACCUGGGAACGGCAUCCGGAACUGUCAAGCUAGAGUGCAGGAGAGGAAGGUAGAAUUCCCGGUGUAGCGGUGAAAUGCGUAGAGAUCGGGAGGAAUACCAGUGGCGAAGGCGGCCUUCUGGACUGACACUGACACUGAGGUGCGAAAGCGUGGGUAGCAAACAGGAUUAGAUACCCCAGUAGUC